AAUCCUAUUUGGGGUAAGGUUUGGAAAUUAUCUUGUCCGGCAAAGGUUAAAAUUUUCAUCUGGCGUACCUUGCAUGGAACCCUCCCAUGCCGUGUUACGCUUGCGAAUAGGCACAUGAAAGUAUCGCCCAAUUGCCCAUCACGCUCAAAGGAGGCAGAAGAUACAAAACACGUUUUAUUCAUGUGUCAAAAGGCAAAAGAGAUAUGGGGCAAGUUAGGAUUACAUGAGGUGAUCAAUAAAGCUUGUGCUACUGAUCAUGCGGGAGAGGCGGGUUUGGAAUUCUUACUACUUGUGCCAGAACAAGAAUUAGCGAUAAUGGGUUCUCCAAAAGCACGUGAACUGAUCGCUGUUACAGCCUGGUACUUAUGGUGGGAUAGACGCAAACUGGUUCAUGAAGGAAAGUUUCAAGAUGCAAACCAAAUUUUCAUGGGUCCCCGGGCUAUAAUGGCUAACUAUGUUAAUGCACACUCCCCUAAGGCAACUACUAAAUCAGGAGGAUGGACAAGACCUCCUAUGGGUUUUGUUAAGCUUAAUGUUGAUGUCUCUUAUGACCAUGAUUUACUUAGGGGCACAGCUGGAGCUGUUCUCAGAUAUGAUAAUGGAAGAUUCAUUGUUGGUGGAAACUGGAGGAUUGAGUGGUGUGCUGAUGUAUUAACAACAGAAGCUUUGGCUCUUAGAGUUGACAUAUUCCUUGCACAAAAGGUGGGUUGCAAUCGUCUUGUCUUAAUUCUGACAAUCUGA
rnacentral:rRNA from 1 species